AACAGAUGACGCCGUAGUAGAACCCUGCGCUGACUAGCCUGUAUGUGGCUCUGAGAUAUCACAUGAGUUUCCUUUGCGGCCUUUGUUCCCCUCUUUGCCCAACCACAGCUGUGAAACGGCAGGUACUCAGUCAACUGGAUUCCCUACAAGAUGACAAAUCUGAACAGAUUUUAUAGACCUUGAGGCCCUCUUUGGACAAAAUUGGAGUAAGAA